GCCCUGAUUGGUAGAGCGCCGCUUUUGCAAGGCGGAGGUCAGGGGUUCGAUUCCCCU
rnacentral:tRNA from 1 species